rnacentral:rRNA from 1 species
UUUUUUAAUUGGAGACUGGAAUGAAAGAUAGAAUCUGAGAGGAAUGUUUUAUUAGAUAAAUUUGAAUUUUAAUUAUAAGUAAAAAUGCUUAUUUGAAUUUUUGGGACGAGAAGACCCUAGAAGCUUUAUAAAUUUAUAUUUGUUUUAUUGGGGUAAUAUUUGAAGAUAAUAAUUUUUGAAUUGGGAAAAAUUUUUAAUUUAGUUACUCUAGGGAUAACAGCGUAAUUUAAUUAGAGAGUUCUUAUUAAUAAUUAGGUUUGCGACCUCGAUGUUGAAUUAAAAUUAAUUUUUAAUGAAGGAGUUAAAUAAUUUAGUCUGUUCGACUAUUAAAAUUUUACGUGAUCUG